rnacentral:rRNA from 1 species
GAUGCGGGAGUGCCGCAAGGAACGACAAGACAGGUGCUGCAUGGCUGUCGUCAGCUCGUGUCGUGAGAUGUUGGGUUAAGUCCCGCAACGAGCACAACCCUUGUCCUUAGUUGCCAGCACGUAAUGGUGGGAACUCUAAGGAGACUGCCGGUGACAAACCGGAGGAAGGUGGGGAUGACGUCAAGUCCUCAUGGCCCUUACGGCCAGGGCUACACACGUACUACAAUGGUCGGUACAGAGGGUCGCGAAGCCGCAAGGUGGAGCCAAUCCCAGAAAACCGAUCCCAGUCCGGAUUGGAGUCUGCAACUCGACUCCAUGAAGUCGGAAUCGCUAGUAAUCGUGGAUCAGCUACGCCACGGUGAAUACGUUCCCGGGCCUUGUACACACCGCCCGUCACACCAUGGGAGUUGGCUUUACCUGAAGACGGUGCGCUAACCGCAAGGAGGCAGCCGGCCACGGUAGGGUCAGCGACUGGGGUGAAGUCGUAACAAGGUAGCCGUAA